rnacentral:rRNA from 1 species
UCCAGACUCCUACGGGAGGCAGCAGUGGGGAAUAUUGCACAAUGGGGGAAACCCUGAUGCAGCGACGCCGCGUGAGUGAAGAAGUAUUUCGGUAUGUAAAGCUCUAUCAGCAGGGAAGAAAAUGACGGUACCUGAUUAAGAAGCACCGGCUAACUCCGUGCCAGCAGCCGCGGUAAUACGGAGGGUGCAAGCGUUGUCCGGAAUCAUUGGGCGUAAAGAGUUCGUAGGCGGCAUGUAAAGUCAGGUGUUAAAGGCGCAGGCUCAACCUGUGUAUGGCACUUGAUACUUGCAAGCUGGAAUGCGGUAGAGGUAAAGGGAAUUCCUGGUGUAGCGGUGAAAUGCUUAGAUAUCAGGAGGAACAUCGGUGGCGUAAGCGCUUUACUGGGCCGUAAUUGACGCUGAGGAACGAAAGCCAGGGUAGCAAAUGGGAUUAGAUACCCGUGUA